rnacentral:rRNA from 1 species
GUCUACGGCCAUGCCACCCUGAACAAGCCUGAUCCCAUCUGAUCUCGGAAGCUAAGCAGGGUCGGGCCUGGUUAGCACUUGGAUGGGAGACCACCUGGGAAGACCACCUUAUUUAUUUGUUGGUU